AGAUUUUGUUAGAUUUUUUCUCAAUAUUUUGUUAUAACUAAAAAUAAAAUUUAAAUUUACAAAUAAAAUUGAUUUAUUAUUAAUAUUUUUAUAUAUUGAAUAGAUUAAUAUAAAUAAUUAAAUAAAUGUAAUUAAUGAAAUGAACCUAAAUAAGGUUAGUAUGACUUUUUUAUGGUAGAUAAAAAUGGUACUUCUUUUUUAAUAGAGAAGAUGUUAGCUAACCGAACAGUGGUGGUUAAUGAAAGAGGAUGCUUUGGGGGGAAAUAUGUAAAUAUUGUUGGUUUUGAGACUUGUUUCUGCGGAUAUUAUUUAGCUAAGUUAGUUAAGCUUCAGCCAAACAGUACUAGUUAUAAAAAAAAAGUUAUGUUAGCUGAAGUUAUUUUCAGUUAUCUUGGAUUCAUAAUGUAAACAUAGCUUAGUAUCAGCAUCUUGUUCCCAAACAGUAAAGUAUAUGCACUUUUAAUUGAAAAUAUGACAUGUAUGCAAAGACAAUAAAGAGAGCUGCAAAUCCCCUCCCUGGACAUAACAAAGUACAAUAGGCACAAGAGAUUUCCUCUCACAGUGGUACAGUACACUGUCGCCAAAUGAAGACAAAACACAAUAAAGGUAGAGAAUUUUGCUUCCACAGCAAGGUGCUCUGCUUGCUCUAUUUAUAGACUUACUAACCUACAAGAAAGCAAAGCAAAGCAGAGCAAAAAGCAAAGCAAAGAAGAGAGCAAAAAAAAAACAAUGGCUGGAGGAGGUGUAGUACGAUUUGUUGUGAAGUUGAUCAAAAUGGCUCUUUCAGUUCUGAAGGAGGUCUCAAAGGUGAUUCUCAGGAAAGGCAAAGCUUGGGUUGUGAAGGUUUCUGAAGGCAACCAGGUCCUUCUUUCAAAGGGUUUUCAGAACCUUGUUUGAGAAGAUUUGGGAGAGAGUUGGGGGAGAAGAUGUCAGGGAGAGGAUUGAGCAGUUGAGGGAGGAGUAUGAGAAGUCAAGGAAUGAGAGGGAGGAGGAGUGUGAGAAGUUGAGGAAGGAUGCUGAGGAGGAGGAAGCUGCUGAGGAGAAAGAGAAGGAAGCUGCUGAAGAGAAAGAGGAGGAGGAAGAAGAAGAGGAGACCAAGUGGAGCAAGAUGGAUGAAGAGAUGGAGCGUAUCUGUGGAGUCUGUGGAGCUGGAGAUCCGUUUGUUUGGGGAAACUAGAAGAAAUAAGUAGUAGUUUUUGUUUCUGUUCGUUCUUGUGUCUUGUCAUGUGUUAGAAAUAAUCUGGUUAGUUUAUUUAAAUUUGAUGUAAAAAUAAUUGAUAGAUAUUUCGUAAUAACAAAUGCUUGUAGAAUUAUAUAUGUAAUUAUCACAUUAACUUCUCAAACAUAUAUUAUGUAUCUU